ensembl:lncRNA
GUGUGUGUGUGUGUGUGUACAUACUAAAACAGCAGGACCAUAAGUCCCGUCUGUGCUAAGCCACGAACAGAGCAUCGUUUCGCCGUUUAUUUGAGCACCAACACAAACUCGGCAGCUUUGCCUUUGAAAAUCUUAACAGCAAUAACAGCUACACGCGGGCUCCUCCCCUUUGACAAACCGACGUCUCGAUCGAGGGAUUAUGACGCGGAUUAGGAGCUGACAGUUAGAAGUGCUACCGUGUGAUAAUCCACAGUGGGUCGGGGGGGCUGUGCAAACCGCCGACCAGCGUUGACAAUAAUGCUGCGCUCACAAGCACCAACCGAACACCGGAGGACGUCCUGGUGCCUCCUUCUUCGAGACGAUGACCUGUCCUUGUCCCACGACCACUACCGAGCGUCCUCGUGGCAGACGUCCCGCCUGAGGGGUAACAGAUAGUGAUGGGAUGCGCUCGGCCCGUCACAGGGAGCGGCUGAUUCAAACAUGAUAAGAGGCUCCCACCAGACGGUCCCACAGAGGCCCGUUUCCAGCCGCCGUACCUACCGACCUCGUGACCUUAAGGACAGGUUUGUUUUCUGCUUCUUGCCGGCAGGUAACAAGACGACCUCUAGAGGUCGGCUGCAGCCUUCAACUACAGGAUCUUCACUUGACGAUAAUCAGAUUUUACGAUCACUAUUAUUUUAUUUUUUUUGAGAAACACCGCUUCCGCCUUUCAGCCUGUGACAACACUUAACCUCCUCAAAUAGAGCUACAACCAGGAACUCCCUCCUUCGUCGUGUGUGUGUGUGUUUGUGUGUGUGUGUGUGCUGUCUAUCGCCUUUUGUUGAUCUUUACUUGAGCUCUUAGAGGAUUACAGAAAGCACCAUGCAAACAAACCCUAUCAUUACCUUACAGUCGGGCUUUGGAGAGAUUAGUAACGCCUGCAAACAGGCUCGCUGGUGCCAAACGCGUUGCGCGGAACUUAUUUCAGAAUGACAACUGUUUGCCUUGCAGGACAUUCGUUGCACGAGAAAUGUUCAAACGAAGCCGAAUCGGAUGAAAAAAGGACAUCGAUGAGCUGGAACGCGGUUAAAAUAUGACUCGCGCCAUUUAUUCUGGUGAAUUGAAAGUUGUAUUUAAAGAAUGUUUUUUCUUUCUUUUAUGGCAUCAUGAAGGUAAAAUGACAUGCGGUAGCAUGAGAGCAUGGCUGCUGUGGUCAUCGGACCUUCAGCAGUGACCAUCUUGUGACCAUCAUCAGCGUGAGCGUGAAACGGAACCCGGCGGCGCUCCGCCCGUCACUGCCAACAGCUCGCUUAGCUUAGCAUGACAUGUGGAUCACCCAGUCAACACGGGUCAUGCCUUGCUUCCCCUCGGGGCCGGAGCAGGAUGCGAAGCAGCUGUGACGUCACACACGUGCAGCGCUGCAAUGGGCUCCUGGUGGUUCUGGGCAGCACGUUGGUAGACGUUGUUAACCGCUGUGUGGGCGCCGUUGUCUGUAUGUGUCUGUGUGGGUUCUGGUGCUGGUAGGGAGUCGAUUGGUUUGUUGUGCCCUAAUUCUAAUGUUAACGGGUCUCACUGAUUUUACAAUAUGAGAUGUUAAUAUUACAAUCAUGGUCAGAGGAAGGUUCAGGUUAUGAAGUCAUAAUAUUUCUUCUAAUGUAUUCAGAACGUAGCUAACACACGCGUUGCAUCCUCCUGUGUGAUUACAAUACAUGAAAAAUUGUUGUAUUUUCUCCUUUAUUCAGGACUUUAGGACAAAUAUAAGACAAGAAUAUCAAGUGAAGUGAAAGAAAAAAGUUUGAAAACCUAAUUACGUUCAGCUAUGGACCGGCUGUGUUUUCAUGCAUGUAAACAAUGAACUACAUGUAAUCCCACAGCAGAAUUGUUAUCAGAUUUUUGGAGAAAUUUUAGUUUAGUUAAUACUUGUUAUUUAGACAAAAAUAGUUGUUCAUCACUGUAUCCCAACGUAUGAUUUCAUCAUGGUACGAUCCUGUGAAAAGGAAAAGUAUUAUUACAUGAAAUGACUGUAAAGGACAGGUGAUUAUUGGCCAUGCUUCACAACACCGUGCACACGCUACCUGCCCCCCCCCCCCCUCACACCUCCGUGGACACAACGGGGGUCUGCUCCUGUACGGCUCACGAUGGGACUACCCAUAUCUGUAAAAUUGGGGACGUCCGUCCCACAGAAGAAUGAGGUCUGAGGACAACGUCUGCACUCUGCUAGUGCCGGGGGGGGUCAGGAGGGAGGAGACCCUCAACACUCACAUACUAGUGUUCCACAAACCACUGUUACUGCUUUUCACCAGUAUCUCAUGUUGUCAUCUCCCUUUCAAGAUAUGGGAACCUGUGGCAAGACCUGGAGGACCCCCCCCCCCCUCUUUUCCUACUUCACUCAAGCACACACACACACACACACACACACACACA